rnacentral:rRNA from 1 species
UUGGAGGGCAAGUCUGGUGCCAGCAGCCGCGGUAAUUCCAGCUCCAAUAGCGUAUAUUAAAGUUGUUGCAGUUAAAAAGCUCGUAGUUGAAUUUCGGGAUCAAUGUUUCGGUCAUGCCGUUGGUAUGUACUGAUAUUAUUGGUUUCUCACCUUCUAAAGAACCGUAAUGCCAUUAAUUUGGUGUCACGGGGAAUUAGGACUGUUACCUUGAAAAAAUUAGAGUGUUUAAAGCAGGCUCACGCUUGAAUACAUUAGCAUGGAAUAAUGAAAUAGGACAUCCGAUUCUAUUUUGUUGGUUUCUAGGAUCGAUGUAAUGAUUAAUAGGGAUAGUUGGGGGCAUUAGUAUUCAAUUGUCAGAGGUGAAAUUCUUGGAUUUAUUGAAGACUAACUACUGCGAAAGCAUUUGCCAAGGAUGUUUUCAUUAAUCAGUGAACGAAAGUUAGGGGAUCGAAGACGAUCAGAUACCGUCGUAGUCUUAACCGUAAACUAUGCCGACUAGGGAUCGGGCGAUGUUCUUUUUCUGACUCGCUCGGCACCUUACGGGAAACCAAAG